UACGUAGGAGGCAAGCGUUGUCCGGAAUUACUGGGCGUAAAGCGCGUGUAGGUGGUGGGACAAGUCUGCUGUGAAAGCGCCUGGCUUAACCGGGCGAGGUCGGCGGAAACUGUCCGACUCGAGGACGGUAGAGGGGGGGUGGAAUUCCCGGUGUAGUGGUGAAAUGCGUAGAGAUCGGGAGGAACACCUGUGGCGAAGGCGGCCCCCCUGGCCGGCCCUGACACUGAGACGCGAAGGCGUGGGGGAGCGAACGGGG
rnacentral:rRNA from 1 species